AAGUCCCUGGUGGAUGAAACCAGAAGAAAAAUGGUCAACAUACUGGUAGCUGACUUGACAGAAAAAAAUGGUACAUCACCACCACGACAGGUAAAAGAAAUGUAUGCCAGAGGAAUUGUAACCUUUUUCCCUUACCUCAGUGACCCGUACUCCAAAAAUGGCUAUGAACAUUAUUAUGAUUGCGAAAGUGGCACUGCUUACUUGGCCUGGAGGAUAAAAAACCAUACAGAGAUGGACCGCUAAAGGGAGGCGAUUAUCAUCUGGAGCACCAGGAGAUGGAUCAUCGGGUGAAGUCCGGUGUGGUGGACCAACUGUCAGACGAGAGUUGCAGUUUGUUACAGAGAAGUUACUGAGUGAGGAUGAGUGCAAGGAAGCAAUCUCUCUGAUGAAACAUUCAGCUGAUAAAGACACAGUAAAGAAGAAGAUGAAGUUGGCAUUUGUUUAUCGACACAACAUGGUCCUUGACCCCCUGCUGUCAAGCAACAUACUGUCUGUUUUUCCACAUUUCAAAGAUAUCAAAGGCUUGAUCGAACAGGAUUUUGUAUUGAUGUUUGGUGAGGAUGUAUCAGGCAGGUUGCUGAAAAGGUGGCCAACAACAUUCAAAAGAAAGAUUAUCCAACAAGGCAGAAAGCUUCCUUCAACCAGUGACCUGAAAAAACUCUUGCUGGCAGUUGACUCUCCUGAGGAUGCCACUGAAUUUAAUGUUGACAUUGGCUGGGACAGUGACCUCUCAGCAAUUCUAUUGCUAUUACAUCUGAUUCCACCAUCCGGUCAGGGUCAGAAGAGACCAGGAAAUGUAUCAGCUUCUUAAGCAGAACUGUCAUGAUUCGGCCGUGUGGCAGGCAGGAUGAGGACCCAAAUUGCAAACUCACAGACACGGGGGAUAAACUCAAAAUGCAGCUUUAUUGCUGACAGGUGAUAAACAAUAACGAUGAUACAAAAGCAAUGCAAAACCACACUAAACUGGGAAAAGCUAAAGUAACAUAUACUGGAAGACACGGGGAG